rnacentral:rRNA from 1 species
GACGAACGCUGGCGGCGUGCUUAACACAUGCAAGUCGAACGGAAAGGCCCUGCUUGCCGGGUACUCGAGUGGCGAACGGGUGAGUAACACGUGGGUGAUAUGCCCUGCACUUCGGGAUAAGCCUGGGAAACUGGGUCUAAUACCGGAUAGGAGCCAUUUUUAGUGUGAUGGUUGGAAAGUUUUUUCGGUGUAGGAUGAGCUCGCGGCCUAUCAGCUUGUUGGUGGGGUAAUGGCCUACCAAGGCGGCGACGGGUAGCCGGCCUGAGAGGGUGGACGGCCACAUUGGGACUGAGAUACGGCCCAGACUCCUACGGGAGGCAGCAGUGGGGAAUAUUGCACAAUGGGCGCAAGCCUGAUGCAGCGACGCCGCGUGGGGGAUGACGGCCUUCGGGUUGUAAACUCCUUUCGCUAGGGACGAAGCUUUUUGUGACGGUACCUAGAGAAGAAGCACCGGCUAACUACGUG